GGGGAAUAUUGCACAAUGGGGGAAACCCUGAUGCAGCGACGCCGCGUGGAGGAAGAAGGUCUUCGGAUUGUAAACUCCUGUUGUUGAGGAAGAUAAUGACGGUACUCAACAAGGAAGUGACGGCUAACUACGUGCCAGCAGCCGCGGUAAAACGUAGGUCACAAGCGUUGUCCGGAAUUACUGGGUGUAAAGGGAGCGCAGGCGGGCGAUCAAGUUGGAAGUGAAAUCCAUGGGCUCAACCCAUGAACUGCUUUCAAAACUGGUCGUCUUGAGUAGUGCAGAGGUAGGCGGAAUUCCCGGUGUAGCGGUGGAAUGCGUAGAUAUCGGGAGGAACACCAGUGGCGAAGGCGGCCUACUGGGCACCAACUGACGCUGAGGCUCGAAAGUGUGGGUAGCAAACAGGAUUAGAUACCCUGGUAGUCCACACCGUAAACGAUGAUUACUAGGUGUUGGGAGAUUGACCCUCUCAGUGCCGCAGUUAACACAAUAAGUAAUCCACCUGGGGAGUACGACCGCAAGGUUGAAACUCAAAGGAAUUGACGGGGGCCCGCACAAGCAGUGGAGUAUGUGGUUUAAUUCGACGCAACGCGAAGAACCUUACCAAGUCUUGACAUCCAUCGACGACUAUAGAAAUAUAGUUUUCCUUCGGGACGGUGAGACAGGUGGUGCAUGGUUGUCGUCAGCUCGUGUCGUGAGAUGUUGGGUUAAGUCCCGCAACGAGCGCAACCCUUAUGGUCAGUUACUACGCAAGAGGACUCUGGCCAGACUGCCGUUGACAAAACGGAGGAAGGUGGGGAUGACGUCAAAUCAUCAUGCCCCUUAUGACUUGGGCUACACACGUGCUACAAUGGCGUAAACAAAGGGAAGCAAUCCCGCGAGGGGGAGCAAAUCUCAAAAAUAACGUCUCAGUUCGGACUGUAGUCUGCAACUCGACUACACGAAGCUGGAAUCGCUAGUAAUCGCGAAUCAGAAUGUCGCGGUGAAUACGUUCCCG
rnacentral:rRNA from 1 species